CGCAGCGCCGCACGCCGGACCUCCUACCUUCAUGCCCCGCCGGGCGCCAAGAGCAAGCGCCGCCGCCACCGAGGAGGCGGGGCUGGGGGCGGGCCGCGCUCGGACUGCGGCGCCCUCGGGCGGGCAGCGGCCGUACCGCCCGGCUUUGUGCCGCAGGGUCCCAGUCAGCCAAUGGAUACAAAAACCCGAGGGCUGAGCUGCAGCCCCCGCAGUGUUGGCUGUGAACACCAGGCCUCAUGGUGCCGCCACUGAAAUCCAUGGGGAUCUGUAAUGACCCGUGGGAAGGGCUGGGAGCAGGCAGCCCGCCCUAAUGAGAACAGCAGUGCCGCUUAGCGCUGCGUGGAGAGCCUCCUGAGAGCCGCAGAAAUAGCUGGUACCGUAGGACUGCUGGGACAGCCAGACUUGUCUUUACUGCUAGAAAGAAAAGCAGGCUGAUCUAUUGUGUGUAGUCUGGAGCAGGGUUACCAUAUUUUAAGUUCCCAAAUAGAGGACACUGCCAGGGGAAGGAAAGUACAGUUUCUUUUUACUUUGAAUCUCUAACAUUUAUAAACAAGUGUAAUAGCCUCAAAAAUAAAUGUAAAUCAAAUUUAAAUGCACCUUUUUACAUGCAGUCAGUCCUUUUCUACUGUCUUCUUCCUGUUGUGCCAUGAAAGUCUUUGCAAGAUGUGUGCCUGAAGUUGUACUGUACAAGCAGGAUCCCUUUCAGCGACUCAACAGUCAAUACCAUGCCACCCUUACUUCUAUGCUAUUGUUGGUGGCAGCACUGCCUUCAGAGCGAGGCACCCAACAGCAGUCACCGCUCUCCGGCUGCCCAGCCCUGAAGGUAGCGUUGCCACCAGCAGCAGCACAGAAGGGUGGCAAACCAGUAAACAUGCAUGCCAGUUUUAGGGCACACCAGCAAUUGCAGUUCUACCAGAAUUUAUGUUGAAAAAAGGACGAGCAAGGAAAAAAUCACAGGACAUUUGUUCAUAUUUCAAAAAUCUGCCCGGAUGGAGAUCAGUGGACCAAAAAAAAGGUCAUGUGUGGGAAAACUCGAAUCUAUGGGAACCCUAGUCUGGAGAGUAAUUUUGAUUUCCAUUUUUGUUAUAGAGUAAUUUCUUUAAGGACAGAUGAGCCAAAUUCUGAAAAAACGAUUGAGUGCCUAUAUAACACAAUGAGUUGUGCCCCAUGAGAGGCCUUGAUCCCUGCUCCCAUUGAAGGCAAUGAUAAAACUCCUACUGACUUCUGUUGUGGAGCUAGGAGAAAAUGAGCUGGAUUCUAUUCCAUCUUAUGUAUCAGCAAUAUAACUGGUACAAAAGUUCCAGUCAGCCACACCUAUACAAGCCUGUUGAAGGCAAUGUGAGUUCACAGCUUCCAGGCUGUGUGUGCAAGGGGUGGUAGUUAGAAAAAACAACUUUCUACCUGUACACUGCGCACAUUUGGUCUGGUGUCAGAGAGAUAAAUAUGGAACCUCAUGAGGCCAUUCUUAGUCAUUUUUCAGAACAGAACUGCAUGUAAAAAUAUCUGUACACAGUAUGCUAAAUUCCCUCCAGUGCUUAUAUAGGUGCAUAGGCUUUGGACUGCUAGCAAGUCAAAAACGCUUCCAUGAACAGAGGUUUUAAAUGAGUUCCAGCUCUGAUCCACUGCAUCAGAAGAUACUAAAACAUAUCCCUCCAGAAUAAGCACUACUAGGCUCCAUCAGCACCAAACACUGUGCUUCAGAAGGUAACAGCAGCAAGAGGCGGCCUAUAGCGUGCUGGGGUGGUCCCAUAUGUGCCACCCUGCCCAUUUGUAGGCACUGAGAUAUUAUGGAGACAUGAAUGUUAGAAGUACCUAGAUAGGUCAAGAUGGACACAUACAUAGCUAUAGACAGAUGACUCUUCUACCAGAGGCAUGUUACAACAGCAUUCAGCUGGAGAUGCUACUGGUUUGGCAUUAAAGUCCAGAUCUGUUUUUGUAUGUUCAAUCAAUAAUUAUUCACUAGUUAGAUGUUUUCCCUUUCUCCAGCAUUCAUCAUACAAUAAAUAGAUGUAAUGGACAGGAUUGAUGUUGUGAAAGUUCUAAUACAGCGUUUGUGGCAGUUGUGGGCAUUAUAUAAAAAACAGAGAGCAAUAUGAUUUGUAAACUUUGGUGUAUCAUUUAGAAUCAUGAGACUAUUAAAGUCUGAAUUUUUUUAUUCUCACAUUUCAUACUGAAAAGACUGCUAGAUGACAAAAUGAAAUGAUAUUAAGAGCGUGAUCCUGCACCAAUAAAGUAAUGGGAGCAGGACCAGGCCCUAAAUGAAAGGAGAUAGUUGCUUCU